UACGAAGGGGGCGAGCGUUGUUCGGAAUUAUUGGGCGUAAAGAGCGUGUAGGCGGCCAUACAGGUCAGCUGUGAAAACUCGAGGCUCAACCUCGAGACGUCGGUUGAAACCGUAUGGCUAGAGUCCGGAAGAGGAGAGUGGAAUUCCCGGUGUAGCGGUGAAAUGCGCAGAUAUCGGGAAGAACACCUAUGGCGAAGGCAGCUCUCUGGGACGGUACUGACGCUGAGACGCGAAAGCGUGGGGAGCGAACAGG
rnacentral:rRNA from 1 species